UCACACAGCCAAGCAGGGUCUCUGGUUUUUACACGGACAAGUGGUGGGGCUGAAAGUCAACAGUUCCCAGUUUAACUGAAAUUAUUUGUUAGUUUUACUGAAAUGCCUUGUCUUUUAAAAGGCAGUAUGGCUAGGACCAGGAACAAGAUGUAUUUUCCUUAGGUGGAAGUUCGGGUGUCUUGGUAUUUGUUCUGCCACUGUAGGAUAACCGUUAUCUCUGGGAUCUAUUAAAUACAGACCUCUUGCCUGUCACGUUUUGUUGUUGCUCCGCUGAGAUCUCAUUGAUGUGUCCCGGCAGCUGCUCUGUGCAAUUGUCUUGAAGUUAUACACCCCGGGAUCACAACAUGUGCAGUUGCCAGUACCCACCCUUCUGGGAGGGAAAGAGGAAUAUGGACAGAGGGACUGAUUCAGUUAGACAGCACUGUAGCUGUGACCAGAGUAAGAAUCAAUGGGACGGCGUUAAGAGAAAGAGCGGAGAGGAAAUGGGACUUUCAUGGAACAGUCCACAUGGAAUGGAAAGGAACACGUCUGAAAAGUGUGAGAAACCAGUUGGAUGACCAAGUGGCCAUUGUUAAGCACAGGGAUAUCUGAAGUACAUCCCUCCACACUACGCCCUUCCUUUGUGCCCUAAUAUACUUUGUCAUGAUAGUAAAACUUGAGAUCGCUAUCAUAUCUAGAAUUUAGUGCGGCUCAUGUCUAGCUCCCUCCAGUGUCUUCCUCUGUUCAGCUGAGUACUUCAAGGCACUCCUCUCUUAUCUGUUAAAGAAUACAUCAUUUUAUUUUACGGCUGUCCUUUGGACCUUUUUUAAAGGAAUGCUUGCAUGGGGAAGCAUAUACUUGUUUGGGAUGUCAUCACAUUAUCCUAUAGCCUAUAAUGGCCAACAACUGUCUUCCCCCACCAAACCAUGGAUUCUGUUUGUUUGUCUUCUUUCUGCUGCUCUGACACUGAAGGCUAAGUUUAAAGGAAUGUCUUCAAUGCUUGGGAGUCAAAUUGUUAGCCUAUUCUAUGUCAUAACCAACCACAAAUUCACAUAUUUCUCCCUGUGACGGCAAUAA